rnacentral:rRNA from 1 species
UGGGGAAUAUUGGACAAUGGAGGAAACUCUGAUCCAGCAAUUCUGUGUGUGUGAAGAAGGUUUUAGGACUGUAAAACACUUUUAGUAGGGAAGAAAAAAAUGACGGUACCUACAGAAGAAGCAACGGCUAAAUACGUGCCAGCAGCCGCGGUAAUACGUAUGUUGCGAGCGUUAUCCGGAAUUAUUGGGCUUAAAGGGCAUCUAGGCGGUAAGACAAGUUGAAGGUGAAAACCUGUGGCUCAACCAUAGGCUUGCCUACAAAACUGUUGAACUAGAGUACUGGAAAGGUGGGUGGAACUACACGAGUAGAGGUGAAAUUCGUAGAUAUGUGUAAGAAUGCCGAUGAUGAAGAUAACUCACUGGACAGAAACUGACGCUGAAGUGCGAAAGCUAGGGGAGCAAACAGG